GACGAACGCUGGCGGCGUGCCUAACACAUGCAAGUCGAGCGAACAGACCAGGAUCUUGCUCCUCUGACGUUAGCGGCGGACGGGAGAGUCACAUGUGGAUAACCUACCUAUAAGACUGGGAUAACUUCGGGAAACCGGCGCUAAUAGCGGAUGAUAUAUUGAACAGCAUGGGGCAAUAGUGAAAGUCGGUUUUGCUGUCACUUAUAGAGGGAUACGCGCCGCAUUAGAUAGUUGGUAAGGUAAAGGCUUACCAAGGCUACGAUGGGAAGCCGACCUGAGAGGGUGGUCGGCCACCCGGGAGGUGAGGCACGGUCCAGACUCCUACGGGAGGCAGCAGUAGGGAAUCUUACGCAAUGGGGGAGAGCCUGACGGAGCAACGCGGCGUGAGUGAUGAAGGUGUUCGGAUCGUAAAGCUCUGUUAUUAGGGGAGAACAAAUGUGUAAUUAGCUAUGCAGGUAUUGACGGUACCUGAUCAAAAAGCCACGGCUAACUACGUG
rnacentral:rRNA from 1 species